CUCUCUCUAUCAAAAUCGGAAACGAAUAGUUACAGUUCACAAGUAUUCUCUCUCUCUCUCUCUCUUUCCUCCGUUAGACUCGUUCUCCGUCCAAUCUCCUUCUUCUUCUCCUUCCUCACUAGAGUUUUUUUUUUGAUUCAUUCAACAACAGACCCACAUCGUCUGCGUCUUCUUCUCUCUUCCUAAACAAUGACCUCGAAGAACAACGGUUUGUCUGCCGCGCUCGUCUCGAACCUCCAAGACGUGCUUUCCAAGAGAAAAGGAGGCAGCGAUUCACCGGCGGCUGCGGAGGAGGAGGAGGAGGAGGCUCCUUCUACUUCUGUUGCGGCGAAGGAGGAGGUCGGUGACUCCAGACCGAUCGUUUUAGUCACGAACGGAGAUGGGAUUGAUUCGCCUGGUCUCGUCUCUCUCGUCGAGGCUUUGGUUGGCCAAGGGCUCUACAAUGUCCAUGUCUGUGCUCCUCAAACGGAUAAAUCGGUUUCUUCUCAUUCUAUGACUCCUGGAGAAACCAUUGCUGCGAGUUCCGGCAAUAUCAAAGGUGCCACUGCCUUUGAAGUUUCAGGGACUCCUGGGGACUGCAUCUCAUUAGGAUUAUCCGGAGCCCUUUUCGCUUGGUCAAAACCUCCAAUACUGGUAAUUAGUGGAAUCAAUCAGGGAUCAAGCUGUGGGAAUCAAGUGUUCUAUUCCGGUGCAGUUGCUGGAGCCAGGGAAGCUUUGAUUUGUGGAGUACCCUCUUUGUCAAUAUCAUUGAACUGGAAGAAAGGUGAAAGCAAAGAAAGUGACUUUAAGGAUGCUGUUGGUGUCUGUUUACCUUUGAUAAACGCAACUAUCAGAGACAUUCAGAAAGGUGUCUUCCCUAAAGACUGCUCUCUCAACAUUGAUAUUCCAACAUCACCCUCAUCAAACAAGGGCUUGAAGGUAACGAAACAAAGCAUGUGGAGACAGAGUCCUAGCUGGCAAGCUGUUUCAGCUAACCGUCACCCUGGUGCUGGGAAUUUCAUGUCCAACCAACAGAGCUUAGGAGCUCAGCUUGCCCAGCUUGGCAGAGAUGCUUCGGCUGCUGGGGCGGCUCGUCGUUUUACAACACAGAAGAAGAGUAUCGUCGAGAUUGAAUCGGUUGGUGUUGCUGCUAAAACUGAGAGCCGUGUUAAGAAAUACUUCCGCCUAGAGUUUGUAGCUAAAGAACAAGAACAUAUGGAUGAAGAUUUGGAUAUCAAGGCUCUAGAAGAUGGUUUUGUUUCUGUGACUCCCCUGUCUCUGCUUCCAAAAAUGGAUUCAGAAACUCAAGCCUCAGUGUCAGAAUGGAUCUCCAAAGCCCUUUACGCUGAUCAAUGAAAAACGGGUCAUACUCAGUAAAUUAUGUUACACGAUUUUGGCUAAAACUCUGCCAACAAAUCUGGAGUCAGGUACUGAAGUUUCUAAAGUGAAAGAUGUUAUUAACUUGUUACUGGAAAAAUAUGAAGAGAGGUGCGAUUCUUGAACCAUGUCAUGUCAUGUCAUGUCACUGCGUUGGAUUUUAUUUCAAUAUCAUGCAAGCAUGCCUCCAGUGACAACACCCACUAAUCACGCUAAUAGAAUAAAAAGCCAAGCGUCACAACCUUUUCCAUAGCUUCCAACAAAGCUUGGCAUUAUCCAGGUUCGAACAAGGACAAUAACGAUUUCUUGUUAGUUUUAUGUAGCAUCACUUUGAGGGGAUAUAUAUAUGUGUGUAGACUUAGAACAUGAUCCACAUUUUGAAUGUCAAAGCAACAUGUGAUAUGAAAGUGAA